rnacentral:rRNA from 1 species
UACGUAGGGUGCGAGCGUUGUCCGGAAUUACUGGGCGUAAAGCGUUCGUAGGCGGUUUGUCGCGUCGUUCGUGAAAACUUGGGGCUUAACUCCAAGCGUGCGGGCGAUACGGGCAGACUUGAGUACUACAGGGGAGACUGGAAUUCCUGGUGUAGCGGUGAAAUGCGCAGAUAUCAGGAGGAACACCGGUGGCGAAGGCGGGUCUCUGGGUAGUAACUGACGCUGAGGAACGAAAGCGUGGGUAGCGAACAGG